GCGGGUGUGGUGUAUGGAACACGGCUGCCUUCUUUUGCAGGCUCUUAAUCCAAGUGGUUAAAGCGGCAUACCUGGGUUCGACUCCCAGAACCCGCU